rnacentral:rRNA from 1 species
UACGAAGGGGGCUAGCGUUGCUCGGAAUCACUGGGCGUAAAGGGUGCGUAGGCGGGUUCUUAAGUCAGAGGUGAAAUCCUGGAGCUCAACUCCAGAACUGCCUUUGAUACUGAGAGUCUUGAGUAUGACAGAGGUGAGUGGAACUGCGAGUGUAGAGGUGAAAUUCGUAGAUAUUCGGAAGAACACCAGUGGCGAAGGCGGCUCACUGGUCCGGUACUGACGCUGAGGUGCGAAAGCGUGGGGGGCGAACAGG